UACGAAGGGGGCUAGCGUUGCUCGGAAUGACUGGGCGUAAAGGGCGCGUAGGCGGAAUGCUUUGUCGGGCGUGAAAUUCCAGGGCUCAACCUUGGGGCUGCGUUCGAGACGGGUAUUCUUGAGUUCGGAAGAGGGUCGUGGAAUUCCCAGUGUAGAGGUGAAAUUCGUAGAUAUCGGGAGGAACACCUGUGGCGAAAGCGGCGCACUGGACCACAACUGACGCUGAGGCGCGAAAGCUAGGGGAGCAAACAGG
rnacentral:rRNA from 1 species